UACGUAGGGUGCGAGCGUUAAUCGGAAUUACUGGGCGUAAAGCGUGCGCAGGCGGUUCUCCAAGUCCGUUGUGAAAGCCCCGGGCUCAACCUGGGAAUGGCAGUGGAAACUAGGGGACUUGAAUCUGGCAGAGGGGGGUGGAAUUCCACGUGUAGCAGUGAAAUGCGUAGAGAUGUGGAGGAACACCGAUGGCGAAGGCGGCCCCCUGGGCUGAGAUUGACGCUCAGGCACGAAAGCGUGGGGAGCAAACAGG
rnacentral:rRNA from 1 species